rnacentral:lncRNA from 1 species
GACACCUCGUGCUUGGCCGUUCCACCUCGUGCUCCACAUGGCUGGCUGCAUGCCUCAGUCUCAUGCAGGAUGACACACCGCACGUCCAGAUGGCCUGCUGCAUGACUGAAGUGCAUGCAGGUCGACACCCAAUUUCACACAUGGCUGGCCGCAUGCUUCGGUCGCAUGCAUCGCAACACCUCGUGCUUGGUCGUUCGACCUCGUGCUCCACAUGUCUACUUGCAUGUACAGGUUGCAUGUACUGCAACACCUCCUACUUCCCUUGACACACACACUUUCAAGAGACUGCCACCACGUCCUGAACACAUACACAUCAAGCCACCUCGAGCUUCUCGGUCGAUUUUGGCCUUUCCGGUGAAUUUUCGUCCCGCGAUCAAUCCCAAAUAUUUUUCUACGCCCGUUCCGAUGGCCUGAGUAUUUUUAAUAAACCCUACUGGGAUUCUGAUCUUGAGGAAAAAUAUUUACCGAGCUGUCGGCUUCUUCGAAAAAGUUUGUAAUACCGAAAUUUAGGGUUUUUCGCCCAAUUUCCGAUCUUCCUAUUGUGCUUCCAAAAGUGUCAUUCUUCAAACCUCCUUUGAAUCAAUCUACCACAUUGUCUAACCAUUGUCUAGUGGCAUACUUGACUCAUGGUUUAGACAAGAACAAUCUGAUCGUCCGCGACUCGACCACCCAAAAGAUACUCGACCAUUAUCUUUUUUUUUUUUUUUUUUUUUGACAAUUCUAGGUUCCAGACCAAGCAUUUCUGCUUGAGGGCCCUAGCAGAUAUGAACUCGUUUAGUUAAGCCAACCCUGGUCCAUCUCUGGACUCGAUUGCAUAGCACCUUGGUCCAUCUACUAGGUCACUCGCCAUACUGGUCGAGCCUUAUCCGAUCCCAUAUGGAUCCUUAAGGGGUAAUGCUUAUCUCUGUUGAGUCCUGGUAGACUUCUGCAAAUCCCUAAGAGACCAAGCUUUAGUGGACUGCCUUGUUCCCCAGGCCACUCAACCGUAAACAUAAACUACCAAAGACUGAUUCACAACAUCUUGUUGUAAUCAUAUACCACUGUCUUAUGAAAAAUACUUUGGUCAUGACCAUACCAUGAAGGACGUCCCAUAACAUCCCUCAAUGCAUUGCCAAUAACUUCAAUACUUCCACUUCCAGUGGGUACCUAGAUGAGUAGGAUUUCGGUUUGAU